UUAAGUACUUACAUCUAUAGAUUUAUGACUUCCAGCUAUCUCAUGUGGAGCUGCUCCUACAAUAUUAUUAUCAAUGGAUCAAUGACGUUUACCGGUACUAUAUAUACAUUUGGGGAAAUGGCCAAUUACAUUUGUGAUAUUGAUUUCUGAUAAUUACAUGUCAGGCAAAUCAAACUUGGGAGGCUGAACCUGUUUGCACAGUUGUCUCUUGUGGAGUGCCUCGAAUAUUGGAGAGACAGCUACUUACAGCUGCAAUAAUGGCUACCAUAUUUCUGGUUCAGCCGUAAUAAUCUGUCGGGCGAAUGGGAAGUGGAACGCUGAGCCAGAGUGCUUGCUUGCAGCUUUCUUGUGUGGUUUUCCUCCUGUUAUAUCUUCCAUGGAUCUCCUGGUAGACCAACUUCCGUAUACUAGAUGGUGGAACAACUACAUAUACCUGCGAUCAUGGAUUCAUCUUAAUCGGCUCGAGCAAAGUUACUUGCUUGUCGACUAGUAUGUGGACAACAUCACCUAAAUGCCAAACUAGGAAUACCUAACAAUGAAAUAAUCAUGAAAGUAUCAAACUGCUUGAGUGCAUAUACUGAUUGCAUCCAUUAUUUAUAAAUGCAGGUCCUCCCCCAGUCUACAUAUCGCUUUUCUCCACCAACUCCUUGUCUACUCUCCCAGAAAUCCCCCUAUACUCUGUGGGAGAGGGGAAGAACAGUUCCCUCGUCUGUCAUACCGGCCUGGCCGCCUGUUGCUCACAGCUGGAUUCAGGAGUGGAGGGUGGUCUAGGAGAGUGGCAUUAUCCAAACGGGACAGUCGUAAUGACAGAUAACUGCGGGAUGAUCUGUAUACAACUAAGGAACAGAAGACAGUCAGUUUGAAUCACAAGAAUGCUACCAAUGUUCCAGGUGGUGUGUACUGUUGCGUUGUGCCUACUACUCAAGGAAAGCAGUCUAUUUGUGCAAACUUAGGAGCCACUGAACUUCCAAGCAUUCAGCAGACUGACUAUACUGGGGCAUCUGCAGGAGGAACAGUCGCUAUAGUUGUUGUAAUUAUCGCUGUAACAACAGCUGUGCUUAUGCUUGUGCUGAGAUACCGUACCAAUCGCAAAAAAGCAAACCCAAGACCUGCUUCAUGUGAAUUAUCAUCUGUGGAAAGCUAUCAGCAAUGCGAAUUAAUUUUUCCUCGAGCCAUCGAUGAUUCUAAUUACGCAGAGAUUUAUCCACUGGCCGUUGUCAAGACAAAGUUUGAAUAUGUACCGUAUGUCAAACAUAAUGCCAGCGUUAAACCCCAGGAGACAGAUGUUGAUAAGAGCCUUGAAGAGGACCAGUGAGCUGACAUAUUACGUACAAGUAAUUACGAUACAGCUUAAAUAUGACACAAUGUACUUUUAUAGCUGCUCACCCUCUGUCAGUGUGUUGUUGCGUUCAUAUAGAAUUGUAUAUUAUGUUUUUAAUGAUCUUUACCAAAAUCAAGUGUUGUGUGAGGGUAAAGAUCAUUAAGUUUGAUCGUUUAUUAGCCAUAAAACAUUUUGUGGGUUGGCUCAGGGGUUGGCUAAGUUGCUCAAAGAAGGAGUGUUGAUAUUGGCAUGGUUCAAGUGAGGUCCACCACUAGACCUGCAACUAAUAGGUCCUUGAAUUGUUAUCUGUUUAUGAGAGGUUCUAUAGAGAGAAAGACUGCAUGAGAAGAAUAGUUGCUAUAGUGCGCAUAUGUGAGUUUAUUGUUAUAAUUAUUGUAGAGUAAGUGUUCUGAGCCCGUAAAGAUCAUUAAUUAAGUUACAAUGUAGAAUAUUGUAUAUAGUAUACUUUAUAAGUAGCAGCUUACAUACCUAUCAUAAUUAUGUGUCUAUAUAGUAUCUACACACAUUUUACGAACGCACACGCUCACCACUGCAAGUCCGGAUAUUCGCCUAACUAUCCUACCAGUACAAAUGUCUGUUUUUUGGACCCAGAGCUAAAAAGAUAAAGACUGCAUGAGAAAUAUGUUUCUUAUAUCAACCCAGUCAGCAGUCGAUCCUGACUCAAAUGUCUACUAUGAGAGCUGAGCCUUCAUGCACGACUGCACGCAUCUACAUGUACAAUGUUUACAAUGCUUACUAUACGUGCACUACUACACAGAUAAUU